UUUAACCCACCCGGGAGCAAGGAGCCGAUAUCAGGCACACUAAUUUGCCCAAUACAUCUAGCCAUGCCACACCCUCAAGGGUACUCAGCAGUGAUUAACAUUAAAAAUAAACGCCAGUUUGAUUUAGCCAAUGAAAACAGGGCUGGCCAAUGCCGGUGCCAGCCGCCGCGGGCACACCAGAGGCUCAAGUUGAUCUUACAACGGCGUAAAGCGUGAUUAGAAGACAUCUUACUGGGGUUAAACUUAGACUAAGCUGUGGAAAGCUUGUUUUUAAGGAAACACACCCCGAAAGGAACCCCAACCCACCCAUUCGAACCCACGACAGUUAGGAAACAAACUGAGAUUAGAUACCCCACUAUGCCUAACCGUAAAUCUUAAUUUACCCCACUUCCCCCCGCCAGGAAACUACGAGCAAAGCUUAAAACCCAAAGGACUUGACGGUACACCACAUCCCACUAGAGGAGCCUGUCCUACAACCGAUAAUCCGCGUUUAACCCAACCAUUUUUUGCUUUUCAGCCUGUAUACUUCCGUCGUCAGCUCACCGCAUGAGCGGAACUCAGUGGGCUUAAUAGCCGCCACCACCAAUACGUCAGGUCAAAGUGCAGCAAAUAAAAUGGCCAGAGAUUGGCUACACUUUCUACCUUAGAAGAAACAGAAGAUUAAAUGAAAUUACAUCAGAAAGUGGAUUUAGAAGUAAGAAAAGAUUAAAAGUGCUUUUCUUAAUUAGGGCACUGGAGUAUGUACACACCGCCCGUCACCCUCUUC
rnacentral:rRNA from 1 species